CCGCGGCCAGGUGGCUUUGCCGCAGGGCUGGCCCCGCUCCUCGCCCUCGGAGAGGUUGGCGUCGCUCAGGGAGCUCAUGGAGGAGCUCAGGGAGUAGCACGGCGGCGUCUCGUCGGCGAUCAAAUUGUUUUGAGGCUUCGUCUUCGCCGGACGGGGACCGGGCUCGGGGUCCUUUUGAGGGACGGAGCCUCCCCAGCGCUCCCUCCGCGGCGCCCGGCCGGGCUGGGCUCUGCUGCCGGACUCGUCCCUUCCCGCCUCGGGCAGCUCGUCCAAAUCCGGAUCGUAGAAGCAGUAGACGGCUUCCUCCGUCGGCGUGGUGUGGCACAACGACUGGAACACCACCCCGUCCUCCAGAGCAUCAUCCUUCCUCCCGGGGGCUCCGCCAGCCCUGCCCACCCCCAGCUCCAGGCCGGCUGCGCCCUUCGGGAGGGUCUGGCCCCGCUUCCCCUCCGCCCGGCCCGGCCCCGCUCUGCCCUUCCCGGCGGAGCUGAGGCGGGCGGGGGCCGAGCUGCCGGAGGCGGCCCUGCGGGCCGGGAUGGUGCCGGGCUCCCGGCGCCGCUCGGGCAGGGGCUGCUCGGCCUCCUCGCCCGCCGGGUACCGCAGGGUCUCGUCGCUCAGCGAGGCGGCGCUGGAGAAGUUGACGGGGGUCCCGUCGGCCGAGUCGGUGAAGGAGUCGUCGUCCUUGAAGAGGUCGCGGGCGGUGGCUCGCAGGUGUUUGGGGACGCCGGGGUGGGCGUGGGCCGGCACCAGCAUGUACACGGGGACGUGCAGCGGCUUCUUGGUCUGCGGGUGCAGCACCUGGCCGGACAGCAGCGAGGUCUUGACCUUGCGGAAGCGGGAGGGCAUGGCCGAGCUGAUGCACUCCUUGAGGAUCUCGAUGUCAUCAUCAUCGGGGGGCUCGGGGCGCUCCGCCCUUCGCCGGCCCUCCAGGUACCGCUCCUCCCGCCGCUCCUCCCGCUUCUCGUGAGCCGCGAAGUUCAGGCUGUUCUUCUCCGGGAAGGUGGGAAUCAGCUUGAGCUCCACGUCCUUCUGCACGUAGUGCUCGUGGAGGGGCAGGGCGCUCAGGCUGGAGGCGCACGAGAAGUUCUCGUUGGGUUUCUCCACCGUGAAGUAGACCAUGGAGUCCAGGUCCUGGGGCAGCUGGAAGCGCUCCUUGAAGUCGGUGAUCUCCAUGAACUUCUUGACGUUGUUCUCCCACUGGAUGUUGAACUGGCUGGUCUCCUUCUCCGGCUGGCAGCCCAGCUCGAAGAGGGGAGUCUUGCUGCGGCUGGGGGGCAUGGUCUGCCCGGGGCUGUCGGGCAGCUCGCUGGGGCUGAUGGUGCCGCUGAUCAUUUCACUGCACGGGUCGCUCUGGAUGGAGCUGGCGAUGGAGGGGCUCUCAAAGCUGCCCAGGGAGCUGACGGAGCUGCAGCGGCUCAUCACCAGCGGUGUCUCCUGGAUGUAAUUCUCCGAGGAGCUCGAGGGCGUCAGGUCCUCCUGGCGCGAGGGCGAGGCCUCCCGCAGGAAAACCUUGUCACGCUUCGGGAAGGGGAUGGUGAUGGGCUGGGAGAUCCCCACCGGUGUGGUGGGACCCAGAUCCUUCUCCUUCUCCUGCCUCCCAUCCUCCCCUUCUGCCUCCCCUUCCUCCAUCUCCAGGAUCUCCAGGGAGGAGUCGCUGUCCAGGUCGUUCUCGCUGUGGCUCUGCCCGUCCAGCACAUUGUCUGCCGAGGAGAGGGAGGACAAGGAGCUGCAGCGGGAGAAGCAGAUUGGGGUGUCCUCCACCGAGUACUUCUGCACCGACUCCUGCUCCGCCGAGGCCGGUGGCUGGGCCGGCAGCUUCUCCGGGAUCUUGCUCAGGGGCUCGGCCGCCUGCAGCAGCGCCGGGGGGAGCCAGGCUUGCUUCCUGCCCAGCAGGGAGGGCUGGUGGCCAGCGGCCGUGCUGCUCUUGGCCAGGGUCUCAAGCAUGGGCACGUGCUGGUAGGACGGAGAGAGCUUGAUGGUGCGAACAUGGGGGUCGGUGGGGGGCUUGGUGCCCACCUCCUUCUUCCACUCCGUCUCCUUCUCCGGCACCUUGGGGCUGGGGAAAGUCACCACCUUCUUGGCCCGUUCGGGCAGGUCCCGCUGCUCAGGUUUGUCCUGCUCGGCCGGGUCCCGCGCAGGGGGCUCGGCCCGCUCCGGUUUGCCCAGGAUGCUCUUGAGGUCGAGCCGGCUGGGCCGCUUCUGGUAGCGCUGCAGCUCGUCACGAUAGUCCAGGAAGGCGGCCCUGGGGCAGGGCUUCAUGUGCUCCUUGGUGCAGUAGCCGUCGCUGGUGCUGCCGCUGUUGAGGCUGUCGGUGCUCAGGCUGGUGCAGGCCGUCUUCAGCCGCAGCAGGGUGUGCGCCCGGCUCAGGCUCUCCCGCUUGGCGAAGCCGCCGGCGUCCGACAGCCGGCACGGCGAGCAGGACUGGGCGCGCGCCUCGUGCCCGUCCUCGGGGCCAUACUGCCAGUCCAGGCAGUGGUCCUCGGAGCUGAGGCUGAAGCUGUCGUCAGAGGAGUUGUGCAUGGUGGAGAUGUCCUCCACCAGCUUGUCGAUCUUGGCCACCGUGCUGGAGAUCUUGUUGGCCAACUUCUCGGCGGCCAGCGAGACGUCGUCCUCGGGCAGCGGCGGCUUCUUGGGCUCGGCCGCCUUCCCGCUGCCGUCCUUCUCCGGCUCCGGGCAGCGCCGCUGUGCCAGCGCCCGCGGCAGCGCUUGGCCCUGCAGGAAGGAGGAGUUGAGGAACAUGGAGAGGACGGAGGCGCUGGCCGUCUCCACGCCGGUGGAGAUGUUGGGCACCUCGUCGUCGUCGAAGCAGCCGGAGUCGGAGGCGUAGUCCUUCACCAGGCUCUCCAUGUGCCGCAUCGGCUUCUUGGCGCUCUGGCCCUUCAGGCUCUGCUUCUCCAUGGUGUCGAAGGUCUCAGCCAGGUGUUUGGCGUCCAGCUCGGCCUCCAGCGCCUUCUGCUUGCGCAUGUAGAGCGAGGGCAUGCAGGAGCCCGGCGACACCACGGCCGCGUCCUUGUACUUGGGGGGCCGGUUGGUGAGGGCCAUCCCCGCGUAGCGCCGCAGCGCCAGGUUCAGGGGGUCGUUGGUCAUCUUGUGCAUCUCGUAGUCCACCUGCAGCAGCUCGGCCACCGCCUGCAGCCCACCUGUGGGGCGAGGCAGGGGUCGUUUGGGGUUCCCCCGCCUCCAGCACCCCGUUUGGGUGCGGUGCAGAGGGGAGGAGCCCCCUCCCCGCGCUCACCCAGCUCGUUCAUGGCCCGCCGGUACUCCUCAUCGAAGGAGAGCUUCAUGAUGGCACAGGUGGCCUGGCAGAUCUGCGGCUCGAUGGGGACCGGCACUGCGGGGGGAUGCGGCUGAGUCCCCUGUGUCACACACGGUGCUCCCCGCCUAUCCCAGCCCCUUC
ensembl:lncRNA